GUAGGAUUCACGUGCUAGCAACGUAUACGUUAGUGUUGAGGCAUAUAAGCUAGAAUGAUUGAUGUUUGUCUUUGAAAUGUUUACAAGGUUUCUGUAAUAGGACAGAGAAAGGAUUGGAUUUAUGAUUCAAUGAAAACUUAUGUACAGUAUAAUGAUGCGGAGAGAUCAAAAUUUACGCAACGCCAAAUUGUUCAAGAGAAGGAAUUGAAUAAAGUUCUCGUGUUUGAAUACUCCGUCAUCUGUACAUAAAAUUGCGUAAAUUGCAUCCAGGACGCCAACAGUUGGGCGAAUUGUAUUAAGGAAGCAACCAAAUCAUGUCUAGUCGUUCAGGUAGCACUAAGUCAUCGACUGCAUCAGCACUUCGACUAUCUGCAGCCAAAUCCGUCACUAGUUGAAUACCUUCAUCAGAGCACCUAACGCUUUUCAAUAAGUCGUAAACAUAAAAAUUCCUCUUAAGCAUUUCUACUGCCUUGUGGUUGCUGACACCUUUACCAUCUUCGGCGGCCUGCAAGUGUUGAAUUGGCACAUGCGGGAGAGGAUGCAGCGCCAAACAAGUGUACUCGCAUCCUAUACUCCACAGGUUUAGCUUGAAGAUCUCCUUCUGGAAGCCACAGAAACCUUAGGAAAUUCCUGUCUUUUUUGGGAACAAGCACUUGAUGGAACAUCGCUUCCACAUCGGCCAUCAAUGCCACCUCAUAUUCUCUAAAACGCAAUACACUCCCAAAAGGCUACUUGUCAAAUUAGGACCUGGGAGCAGCAUAUCAUUGAGUGCAAUGCCUUGAUACUUAGCGGCACAAUCGAACACCACACGAAUCUUCUUUUUCUUUGGGUGGUAGACGCCAU